UAAUUGAUCUUGAAGGUGGUUUUCUCAGGGCAAGUCUUACCCAUUGCAUGCCAGAUGUGCUGACCACUGGGAUUUCCUCAAAUAUGAGAAACUGGACUCCAUAAGUUGUGUUAAUGGGGUACUGCAUUUGUGCUCUCCCCUG
rnacentral:snRNA from 1 species